rfam:Hassallia byssoidea VB512170 scaffold_10, whole genome shotgun sequence.
CCCCCGGUAGCUCAGUUGGUAGUAGCGUCUGUCUGAAGAAUAGAAGGUCGUCGGUUCGAUUCCGACCUGGGGGG